rnacentral:rRNA from 1 species
GGCCAGACUCCUACGGGAGGCAGCAGUGGGGAAUAUUGCACAAUGGGGGAAACCCCGAUGCAGCGACGCCGCGUGAGUGAAGAAGUAUUUCGGUAUGUAAAGCUCUAUCAGCAGGGAAGAAAAUGACGGUACCUGACUAAGAAGCCCCGGCUAACUACGUGCCAGCAGCCGCGGUAAUACGUAGGGGGCAAGCGUUAUCCGGAUUUACUGGGUGUAAAGGGAGCGUAGACGGCAUGGCAAGUCAGAUGUGAAAGCCCGGGGCUCAACCCCGGGACUGCAUUUGAAACUGUCAGGCUGGAGUGCAGGAGAGGUAAGUGGAAUUCCUAGUGUAGCGGUGAAAUGCGUAGAUAUUAGGAGGAACACCAGUGGCGAAGGCGGCUUACUGGACUGUAACUGACGUUGAGGCUCGAAAGCGUGGGGAGCAAACAGGAUUAGAUACCCGAGUA